UACGUAGGGGGCAAGCGUUGUCCGGAAUUAUUGGGCGUAAAGCGCACGUAGGCGGACUCUUAAGUCGGUGGUGAAAUCCUGGAGCUCAACUCCAGAACUGCCUUCGAUACUGGCGAUCUUGAGUCCGGAAGAGGUGAGUGGAACUCCUAGUGUAGAGGUGGAAUUCGUAGAUAUUAGGAAGAACACCAGUGGCGAAGGCGGCUCACUGGUCCGGUACUGACGCUGAGGUGCGAAAGCGUGGGGAGCAAACAGG
rnacentral:rRNA from 1 species